AUAAAUGCAAUGAAGAGAACAGUACAAUCAUGAAAUUCUUCAAAGAGAGCUCCAGUUGGUGAAAAGGAGUAAGAAUUAAUGAUUGGAAGCAAGCCUCAGAGCAGCACAUUGGAUCCAUGCAGGUGAUAGUGUGACAGGAGCUCCUGUUAUAGAGCUAGGGUAUAUGUAUGGUCUUCAUACCGUACCUAAUAAGGGUAAUAUGGUGACAUAUUACCAAACUGAGGUGGCACCAGGCGCGCAACAACUCGUUCUCAAG
rnacentral:ncRNA from 1 species